ACGCUGGCGGCAGGCCUAACACAUGCAAGUCGAGCGGAAACGAGUUAUCUGAACCUUCGGGGAACGAUAACGGCGUCGAGCGGCGGACGGGUGAGUAAUGCCUAGGAAAUUGCCCUGAUGUGGGGGAUAACCAUUGGAAACGAUGGCUAAUACCGCAUGAUGCCUACGGGCCAAAGAGGGGGACCUUCGGGCCUCUCGCGUCAGGAUAUGCCUAGGUGGGAUUAGCUAGUUGGUGAGGUAAGGGCUCACCAAGGCGACGAUCCCUAGCUGGUCUGAGAGGAUGAUCAGCCACACUGGAACUGAGACACGGUCCAGACUCCUACGGGAGGCAGCAGUGGGGAAUAUUGCACAAUGGGCGCAAGCCUGAUGCAGCCAUGCCGCGUGUGUGAAGAAGGCCUUCGGGUUGUAAAGCACUUUCAGUCGUGAGGAAGGUAGUGUAGUUAAUAGCUGCAUYAUUUGACGUUAGCGACAGAAGAAGCACCGGCUAACUCCGUGCCAGCAGCCGCGGUAAUACGGAGGGUGCGAGCGUUAAUCGGAAUUACUGGGCGUAAAGCGCAUGCAGGUGGUUUGUUAAGUCAGAUGUGAAAGCCCGGGGCUCAACCUCGGAAUAGCAUUUGAAACUGGCAGACUAGAGUACUGUAGAGGGGGGUAGAAUUUCAGGUGUAGCGGUGAAAUGCGUAGAGAUCUGAAGGAAUACCGGUGGCGAAGGCGGCCCCCUGGACA
rnacentral:rRNA from 1 species